GCAAGUCGUGCGAGAGAGUAUCUUCGGAUAUGAGUAGAGCGGCGGACGGGUGAGUAACGCGUAGGAAUCUACCUAGUAGAAGGGGAUAGCCCGGGGAAACCCGGAUUAAUACCGUAUACCUCCUUCGGGAGAAAGAAGGCCUCCCUUUGAAGCUUUCGCUACUAGAUGAGCCUGCGUAAGAUUAGCUUGUUGGUGAGGUAAAGGCUCACCAAGGCUACGAUCUUUAGCUGGUCUGAGAGGACGAUCAGCCACAUUGGGACUGAGACACGGCCCAGACUCCUACGGGAGGCAGCAGUGGGGAAUAUUGGACAAUGGGCGCAAGCCUGAUCCAGCCAUACCGCGUGUGUGAGGAAGGCCUUCGGGUUGUAAAGCACUUUAAGCAGGGAGAAAAAGUUAUAAGUUAAUACCUUAUAACCCUGAUGUUACCUGCAGAAUAAGCACCGGCUAAUUCCGUGCCAGCAGCCGCGGUAAUACGGAAGGUGCAAGCGUUAAUCGGAAUUACUGGGCGUAAAGCGCGCGUAGGUGGUUUGUUAAGUUGGAUGUGAAAGCCCUGGGCUCAACCUAGGAACUGCAUCCAAAACUAACUCACUAGAGUACGAUAGAGGGAGGUAGAAUUCAUAGUGUAGCGGUGGAAUGCGUAGAUAUUAUGAAGAAUACCAGUGGCGAAGGCGGCCUCCUGGAUCUGUACUGACACUGAGGUGCGAAAGCGUGGGUAGCGAACAGGAUUAGAUACCCUGGUAGUCCACGCCGUAAACGAU
rnacentral:rRNA from 1 species